AUUUAUGGAGAGUUUGAUCCUGGCUCAGAGUGAACGCUGGCGGCGUGCUUAACACAUGCAAGUCGAACGAGAACGGGUUAUAGCUUGCUAU
rnacentral:rRNA from 1 species